rnacentral:lncRNA from 1 species
CGCGCGCCAGUCCUGGGAGCUUGCACUGCUCGGGGGGGUUACGUGGAGACUUGCGUGGUGUCCUUUACCGCCGCCGCCUGCCCUCCGGUCCCUGGGCGCUGUGGCUCCGCGUUAGGGUGCUGGCGGGAGGGGUGCCGAUCCGGUUCUGCGCGUCCGGUGGGUUCUCCGGGCCAGCGCCCCGCGGCGCCCGGGCUUUAUGCUGUAAUUGCGCCCGGCGGCGCCCGGCGCCCGCACCGGCGCGCGUCUCGCCCGUGCCGUGCACACGCCCUGCACCGCCCCACUUUGCACACGCACACGCACACGAGUCCUUGGGGCCCUGGAGCAUCGUGCUCGCCUCGCGCCUCCCGGCCCGCCCUUGCGCUCAGUCGCUCCCCAGGGAGCGCCCAGCUGCGAGCAAAACAAGCCUCGCUGCGAAACAGUCCCCCGGGGAGACAGCCCUUUCCCCGGAGCACAGACACCACACCUUCACCGCGCAAGCCUUCGGUCCGGGCCGAACCCGGGCGCUCCGGCGCCUACGCACCCCACGAUUCCUCCCCGGUGCUCCGUACGCCGCCGUGAUCCUCCAUUCCACGGCUCCUCGAUAUCCAUUAUUCAUUAGUGGUCGCAGAAGCAGGCUAGCUUUUCCCCCAUCGUUCAGUGGAGGAUCAGCAGUGCUACUUGGAAGUUGGUAUUGGAAGAGGCCAUUCCCUGUCUACGUGUCCCUGUCUUGAAGAGGAGAUAAUAACACACUAGUA